AAGUCGUAACAAGGUAACCGUAGGUGAACCUGCGGUUGGAUCAUUAGUAAAUUUGGGAGCGCAAGUUCCUGAACACUGUGUGCACUAUUGUCUGUCUCUGGUGGAAUCAGGAGGUCUGAACCCUGGGAAGGCCGCAAGGCCUUCUUCUUGGGGUGACGGUCUCCCUCUGCCGAAAUGUGUAAAACCUAUGUCUACUGUAUUUUAGUCUGAUCUUGGUUUCUUAUUCUGCUACCGAAAGGUGGUGGAUGAAAUCUAAAAACAACUUUUGACAACGGAUCUCUUGGCUCUC
rnacentral:misc_RNA from 1 species